rnacentral:rRNA from 1 species
ACCGGAGCUUGCUCUGGUGGGAUUAGUGGCGAACGGGUGAGUAACACGUGAGCAAUCUGCCCCCGACUCUGGGAUAACCCCGAGAAAUCGGAGCUAAUACCGGAUACGACACCUCCUGGCAUCAGGUGGGUGUGGAAAGAAUUUCGGUUGGGGAUGAGCUCGCGGCCUAUCAGCUUGUUGGUGAGGUAAUGGCUCACCAAGGCGACGACGGGUAGCCGGCCUGAGAGGGUGACCGGCCACACUGGGACUGAGACACGGCCCAGACUCCUACGGGAGGCAGCAGUGGGGAAUAUUGCACAAUGGGCGCAAGCCUGAUGCAGCAACGCCGCGUGGGGGACGAAGGCCUUCGGGUUGUAAACCUCUUUUGGCAGGGAAGAAGCGAAAGUGACGGUACCUGCAGAAAAAGCACCGGCUAACUACGUGCCAGCAGCCGCGGUAAUACGUAGGGUGCAAGCGUUGUCCGGAAUUAUUGGGCGUAAAGAGCUCGUAGGCGGUGUGUCACGUCUGCUGUGAAAAUCCAAGGCUCAACCUUGGACUUGCAGUGGGUACGGGCACACUCGAGUGCGGUAGGGGAGAUUGGAAUUCCUGGUGUAGCGGUGGAAUGCGCAGAUAUCAGGAGGAACACCGAUGGCGAAGGCAGAUCUCUGGGCCGUAACUGACGCUGAGGAGCGAAAGCGUGGGGAGCGAACAGGAUUAGAUACCCUGGUAGUCCACGCCGUAAACGGUGGGAACUAGAUGUGGGGUCCGUUCCACGGAUUCCGUGUCGCAGCUAACGCAUUAAGUUCCCCGCCUGGGGAGUACGGCCGCAAGGCUAAAACUCAAAGGAAUUGACGGGGGCCCGCACAAGCGGCGGAGCAUGCGGAUUAAUUCGAUGCAACGCGAAGAACCUUACCAAGGCUUGACAUAUAGAGGAAAAGUGCAGAGAUGCACUCCCCGCAAGGUCUCUAUACAGGUGGUGCAUGGUUGUCGUCAGCUCGUGUCGUGAGAUGUUGGGUUAAGUCCCGCAACGAGCGCAACCCUCGUCCUAUGUUGCCAGCACGUAAAGGUGGGAACUCAUGGGAGACUGCCGGGGUCAAUUCGGAGGAAAGG